AAUUUGAUGUGGUUCUUCAUCUUGUUAUUGCUCUUCCAUCUCAUCCUAACAACAUCGACAGUAGGAUAACAAUGGCCUCCAUCACUCUGUUUCUCAUGAACACGAGUUCACAUUUGUCAUAGCAAAUGGGUACAGGCAAGUGCAACGAAGAUGUCUCCGUGUGACUCCAUUUCUCUUCCUUCGGUUUGGGCGUCAUUCUUCAUUUUUUUUUUCCAGCGAGAAUGAAAAUUAGUUUAUUAUACUUCUUUUGAAUUUGAGAAUUCAGGCACUUUGUAGAGAUUGCACGAAACCUACCAAUGAUCUGGACGUAAUUUUUCAGAAAAUAUGUGCAAAGUGUUCAACAAAAUGCCUGUUAGAGGUGUGAGAUUUUUACCAUCUCUGAAGGAAAUAUAAUCUGAAGUGAUUUCUCCCCCCCCCCUGUAUGUAUGUAUAUGUUUCGUCCUUCACUCUUUAGGAGUUUUGUUCUUCAGAUUACGUUUCAUGAACUUACCAAUGACCUGGACGUAAUUUUUCAGAAAGUAUGUGCAAGGUGUUCGACAAAUUGCCUGUUAGAGGUGUGAGAUUUUUACCAUCUCUUAAGGAAAUAUAAUCUGAAGUGACUUUCCCCCUGUAUGUAUGUAUAUGUUUCUUCCUCUGCUCUUUAGGAUUUUUGUUCUUUAGAUUAUGUUUCAUGUCACGCUCCAAUGGUUUCGUUAACAUUGUGAACAAAUCAUUCUAAGAUUAUUCUAAUUGUGAGGGGUGGCUAAAACAGUUAUCUUGAAACUCCUUCGCCAACCGUCAAUCUAUGCAUAAACUGGUUAAGGAACUUUAAUAUAUUAGUUGUUUCAUAGUUUUAAUGUCUUGUUCUUGUUCCACACUUGGUCCCCCAAGCAUGAUGCAUAAGCACCGAAACUGAGAUCACUGAGGGGUGGAUUUUUCCUUAUUAAUGUAUUAUUGUUGUCUUCUUCAAAAGUUGAAUUAAUUAAUUCCAAAACUUCAUAAUCUUUUUAGCUUUGACACGAUUUUUCCUGUAAUGAUCAUGUCAAGGUUUGAUGGAAGGACAACUGCUCACAAAAUUACAUAUCGAAGGGUAGAAAACCAGCCACAUCUACCAGUUCAUAGAUUUUCAACACAACGACGUCGUUUGGAAAAAAAACAACCAAAUGGAGAGACGACGUCUGCUAGGUAGAUGCAAGUUGAGGUUGAACACUGAUGACAGUUUGCAAGGUAACCUUGGGUUGGCUGGUCUUGGAUUUGUCUUUAGGGACGAGAGGGCUGCUGGAUGUUCUAACUUCUUAGAAGGUUGGCUAAUGUCAUGACCUUGAAUGCCAAACUUAGGGGCAUAUUUCCAGGUCUGCAGAGUGAAGAGUGAACUUGAUCAAGGGUGGAGCUCCUUCAAAUUCCCCCUCAUAAGGUGCCGGAGGAUGAAUGUAAAGAAAGCAUGGCAAGAAGGAAUUGGACUGUUGGCUAUAUUCCACGGGAGGGAAAGAUGGGCCUCUAGCAGGAUACACUUGUGGAAAUUGUGUUAAUUUGUCUUAAGGAAGUUAGAGAGCUUCUUUGAGCUGAAUUUCGCCAAAAUUUGUAAUCGUUGACUUUAGUUUAUCUUACUUCUACCCUGUAAUUCCAAAAAGAAAAAGAAAUGACGCGUUGUUUUCUUUGUCA